GACGUAGGGCGCGAGCGUUGUCCGGAUUUAUUGGGCGUAAAGAGCUCGUAGGCGGCUCGUUGCGUCGGCUGUGAAAACCCGCAGCUCAACUGUGGGCUUGCAGCUGAUACGGGCGGGCUGGGAUUCGGUAGGGGAGACUGGAAUUCCUGGUGUAGCGGUGAAAUGCGCAGAUAUCAGGAGGAAUACCGAUGGCGAAGGCAGGUCUCUGGGCUGACACUGACGCUCAUGCACGAAAGCGUGGGGAGCAAACAGG
rnacentral:rRNA from 1 species